GCAAGGCUGAAACUCAAAGGGAUAGGCGGGGGAACACACAAGCAGUGGAUUGCCUCGAUUAAUUUGAUAAUAAGCAACGAAUCUUACCUAGGCUUGACAUCUUUGGAAUUCUACCGAAAGAAUGAAGUGCCAGUUUACUGGAGCCGAAUGACAGGUGCUGCAUGGCCGUCGUCAGCUCGUGCCGCAAGGUGUCCGGUUAAGUCCGGAAACGAGCGCAACCCUCGUCGUUAGUUAGGAUGUCUAACGAGACUGCCUCCGUAAGGAGGAGGAAGGAGAGGAUGAUGUCAGGUCACUAUGGCCCUUAUGCCUAGGGCGUCAGAGACAAUACAAUGGGUAGUACAACAGGUAGCCAAGCCGUGAGGCGGAGCCAAUCCUCUAAAACUAUCCUCAGUGCGGAUCGAAGUCUGGAACUCGACUUCGUGAAGUUGGAAUUGCUAGUAAUGGUGGGUCAGCCAUACCGCCGUGAAUAUGUCCCUGUUCCUUGCACUCACCGCCCGUCAUACCAUGGAAGUUGAGGCUCUCUGAAGACGUGCCACGCAUGUUGAGGAGAGAAUUGAUGACUGGGGUAAAGUCGUAACAAGGUA
rnacentral:rRNA from 1 species